CCCUAUUUGCAUCUCUCCCUUGUAAACAACACCAAAUGCCCCUCUUCCAAGUUCUUGCUUGAAAUCAUUUGUAGCUCUUGCAAGCUCUUUGUAUGUAAAACAAUGCACAUUUGUUUCCACAGAGAUCCUNNNNNNUUUUUCUAAGUUUCCUUAGGUAGAAGAAAAACCUGAGACAAAACACAAAGUUGAUAAACACAGAGCUACCCAAGAGAACAGAUUCUGCGAUGAUUACAGCCCUCCAG
rnacentral:misc_RNA from 1 species